rnacentral:rRNA from 1 species
UACGGGGGGGGCAAGCGUUGUUCGGAAUUACUGGGCGUAAAGCGCAUGUAGGCGGCAACGCAAGUCGGGCGUGAAAUCCCACGGCUCAACCGUGGAAGUGCACUCGAAACUGCGUAGCUAGAGUCCUGGAGAGGAAGGUGGAAUGCUUGGUGUAGAGGUGAAAUUCGUAGAUAUCAAGCGGAACACCGGUGGCGAAGGCGGCCUUCUGGACAGUGACUGACGCUGAGAUGCGAAAGCGUGGGGAGCAAACAGG